GACGGAGGAUGGCAAGUGUUAUCCGGAAUCACUGGGCGUAAAGGCGUCUGUAGGUGGUUUAAAAAGUCACUGUUAAAAAUUGAAAGCUUAACUUCAAAAGAUGCCGUGGAAACUUUUAAACUUCGAGUAUGAUAGGGGUUAGAAGGGAAUUUCCAGUGGAGCUGGUGAAAUGCGUAGAUAAUUGGAAAGACCACCAAUGGCGAAGGCACUCUACUGGGCCAUUACUGACACUGAGAGAUCGAAAGCUAGGGGAGCGAAUGGG
rnacentral:rRNA from 1 species